UUGCUUUCAGUCAAGGAAGCUGUAAAUCAACUUGUGAAUUGAUGCAAAUUGAUUUCUUCAAGUUUCACUGAAUCCGUGUUUGAGCAACAGAUAUCAGAGAGGUCAUUGAAGUGUCAGAGAAUUAGCGUGGUCAGAGCAAGAAAGGUA